AUGAGCCACUGUGCCCGGCCGAAAUUCACUUUUUACUAUACACCUCUAUGUUAGUUAUCUAUUGAUUUUGUAAAAAUUUAGGUGAGAAAUGAUGAAGAAUUGGAGUGGGCAGGAAAAAUGGAAAGGAGGGUGCAGGUGUGAAAAAUGUCCAUAAAGUUAAGUUGGCAGAACUUGGUUACUAAGAAGUAAGGGAAGUGACAGGGAUUGAGAGAGAGAGAGAGAGACAGAGAGAGGGAGAGAGACAGAGAGGAUAGAGGCUGACUUUUAUGUUUAUAGGUCAGGUGGGUGAUGCUCCCAUUAACAGAGAUGUAAAAUAGAUGAGGGAAAGCCAGGUUGUGGAGAAGUUGAUGCCCUUUGCUUUUGGCAGAGUUGAAUGGCACUGUACAGGACAUUCUGGCCUAGAGUCAGGGGCAAGGUCUUGGCCUUAGAUACAACAUAGGGAAUUGUUCUCACUGGAAAUGGCAGUUUUAAACUUGAACUGGCUUUAAACAAAGGGAAUAUAAAGGCUCACAUAAUUGAGAAGUCAAGGGAUACUGGCUUCAGGCAUGGCUGUAUCCAGAUGCUCAGGAUCUUUCUCUUUAUCUCUUGGCUCUUCCCUCAUCUGUGUUGGCUUCAAUGUCAGGCAGAUUUUCCCUAUAUGGUAGCAAAAUGGCCACAGACUUCAAAUUUAACUGCUGGGAAAAGAAUCUGUUUCUCCUUAUAGUCUCAGGAAAAGCCCUGAUGUUGAUUCCCCUCACCCCAGUUAGAUAAUAUGUCAUUUACUGAACCCACUGGAGUGUCUCUGAUUGGCUGGUUACUUGCUCACCCUUUGGGUGGCUGGCAGUGCUUAACCCAGAGAAACCUCUUGGACUGAGAACCUGCUUGAAGAGCUUCCCUAAAGGGAAAUUGAAAUACUGUUACUGUAAGAAAGGGCAGUGGGGCCAGGCCCAGUGGCUCAUGCCUGUAAUCCCAGCACUUUGGGAGGCUGAGGCAGGUGGAUCACAAGGUCAGGAGUUUGAGACCAGCCUGACCAACAUGGUGAAACCCUGUCUCUACUAAAAAUACAAAAAUCAGCCGGGUGUGGUGGCAUGCACCUGUAGUCCCAGCUACUCCGGAGGCUGAGGCAGGAGAAUCACUUGAAGCUGGGAGGCGGAGGUUGCAGUGAGCCAAGAUCGUGCCACUGCACCGUAGCCUGGGUGAUAAGAGUGAGACUCUGUCUCAAAAAAAAAAAAAAAAAAAAAAAAAAAAAAAAAGGGCAGUGGAUGUAGAGCUGGCAAAAACAAUGACAUUGAGAUGAAGCGUGCUCAGGUCAGAGCUCUAACGAAGCCCUCUGCUGCAGACUGAAUGUUUGUAUCUCCCUCAUAUUCAUAUGUUGAAGUCCUAAGGUGAUGUUAUUUGGAAGUGGGCCUUUGGGAGGGAUUACAGCCUGAUAAGAGGAGACUUGAGAGCUUGCUUCUUCUCUGUGCCAUUUGGGGCUACAAUAGGAUGGUCGUCUGUACACCAGAAGUCAGGCCCUUGGUUGCCAGCAGAAUGGAAUUUGCCAGCACCUUGAUCUUAGACUCUUCACCCUGCAGACCUGAGGAAUAAAUGUGUGUUGUCAAGCCACCUGCUCCAUGCUAAAUUGUUAUAGUAGCCCAAGCAGAUUAAGAUGCCUCUGUUUGGCUGUCUAUGGCUGCAUAACAGACCACUCCAAAUCCAAUGAUUUUUAUCAUCUUUCACAAUUUCUGUGGGUCAGGAAUUUGGGAAGGGCUCAUCUGGGUGGUUCUGCCUUGGUGUCUCUUUUGUGGUUACAGUGGAAGCCGGAGCACUGGGGAGCUGGAGCAGCUGGGAGCUGGCCAAGCAUCUCUCUUCAUAUAGCCUCAAGGCCUCUCCAUGUUGUCUCUCUGCAUGAGCCAGUUGGGCUUCCUCACAGCAUGGCAGCUGAGAGUGUUGACACCUCUUACACUGUAGCUCAGGACUCCCAUGAGUCAGGCCACAUUGCCUUUAUGACCCAGCCUCACAAGUCACCAUAGAAUCAUUUCUACUGUAGUCUGAGUCACUAAGUUUGGCUCAGAUUCAAGGGGAAGAAACAGACUCUGUUACUCAGUGGGAGGAGUCUUAAAGAAUUUAUAGACAUGGUUGGGCACGAUGGCUGAAGUCUGUAAUCCUAGCACUUUGGGAGGCCAAGAUGGGAGGAUCGCUUGAGCCCAGGAGCUCGAGACCAGCUUGGUCAACACAGGGAGCCCCUAUCUCUCCAAAAAACUUAAAAGUUAAAAAAAAUUAGCUGAGCAUGGUGGCACGCACCUGAUCGCACCACUGUAUCCAGCUCGGGCAACAAAGUGAGACUCUAUCUCAAAAAAAAAAAAAAAAAUUAUGGACAUGUUUUAAAACCACCAUACUACAUUUGAAGAGGUCAGAGGAGGAGAAAGAACCACAGAAGCAUCUAGAGAGAUAGCGGGUGGUGGUGGGUGGGGGCAAGAAUCUGGGAUGUGUGUAUGUGUGUUUUGGAGUGGGGGUGCAUUGUGUCAUAGAAACCAAAGAAACACAUUUCCAAGAAGGACCUGCUCAGCCUUGCCAAGUGCAUAAGAGACACACAGCGGGACAACAGGACUUAGGUUUGGCAACAAGGAGGUCAGUGGGAACCUUGGCCAGGAGAAUUUAGGGUGUGAUGUGGAAGGCAAGAAAGUGAGGAGGCAGGGGCCCUUUGUGGAGUGGUUUGGAGAAGGGGUGUGUAUGUAUGUGCACCUGUGUGUGUGUGUGUGUGAAGUGCAAAAAGCCCCACACCAUGGACAGAAGGGGAGGGGGCCCCUGAUAUCAGAGCAGGGGUGGAUGAAAUCCUGGGGCAGUGGGAAGAGAUGAAGUCAAAUAUACAGGGGGAUGGGCUGGCCUUGACUAGCAAAGGAGGGAUCCUGUAUCCUCUGAGAGCCUGGGGAGGAGGGGAGGGGGCCACCAAGAAGAGCCACAAUGUAGUGUCUGUAAGUUGAACUCUGGAGUCCAGCAGAUCUGCGUUUGAAUCUUAGCUCCACUACUUACUGCUUACAUGAUUUAAACACUCUGUGCCUCAGUUUCCCUGACUGUAAAAUGAAGAUAAUUUAAGUACUUGCCUCUCAGAGGGGUUGAAAGAGUGAAAUGAGAUGUGCAUAUAAGACACUUAUCCAAAGUACCUGGAACAAAAUUAGAACUCAGCAAAUUAUGGUUAUUGUUACUGUUAUUGUUAUAUUAGUUUAUAGGUGAGUAGGGUGGGAAGGUGAGAGACACGACACCUGAUAAACUGUCUACUUUUGAGAAAAACAAGAUGGAUUAUCUAUUAAGAAAUAGGAAAAUUUGUCCAGGCAUGGUGGCUCACACCUGUGAUCCCAGCACUUUGGGAGGCUGAGGUGGGUGGAUCACUUGAGGUCAGGAGUUUGAGACCAGCCUGGCCAACGUGGUGAAACUCUGUCUCUACUAAAAAUACAAAAAUUAUCUGGACAUGGUGGUACAUGCCUGUAGUCCCAGCUACUCUUGAGGCUGAGGCAGGAGAAUCACUUGAAGUAGAGGUUGCAGUGAGCCAAGAUCAUGCCACUGCACUCCAGCCUGGGUGACAGAGAGAGACUCUGAGAAGAAAAGAAAGAAAGAAAAAGAAAAGAAAAGAAAAGAAAGAGAAAGAAAGAAAGAAAGAAAAGAAAGAAAGAAAGAAAGAAAAUAUGGUGAAACCCCAGCUCUACUGAAAAAAAAAAAAAAAAAAAAUUAGCCGGGAGUGGCAGCAUGCUGCCUGUAGUCCCAGCUACUCGCUUGGGAGGCUGAGGCAGGAGAAUUGCUUGAACCCAGGAGGCGGAGGUUGCAGUAAUACAAGAUUGUGCCACUCCAGCCUGGCGACAGAGUGAGACUCCGUCUCAAAAAAAAAAAAAAAAGUGACAAAGAUGGGUAUCAUUUAUAGAGCAUUUACUAUAUGCUGGGAUAAUUAAUCUUCCCAAUGACCUUAUGAACUUUCUUUUUUAUCAAUUAAAGUACUUCAAGGCUAGAAUCAACUAAAGUAUGAGAUUGGAUUUUUAAAAGGCUUUGAGUGAAAAAUGUCCUGUAAAAACUCUCAGAGCCAAGAUCACUUUAGAGGUGCAACUCUGCCACCUGUUAUUCUUGCUAAUUGCCAUUACAUUGAGAGUGACAGCUUUAGGAUAGAAAGCAAAGGGAAAAAGCAGACUUGAGGACAAUAUAUUGAAAAGUAUUGUGGGUAUGGUUUUAGUACCAUUAACUACAGUCAAAUCGAUAAGAAACCUAAGAUUUUUUUUGAGAUGGAGUUUCA
rnacentral:lncRNA from 1 species